rnacentral:rRNA from 1 species
UACGUAGGGGGCAAGCGUUGUCCGGAUUUAUUGGGCGUAAAGGGUGCGUAGGCGGGUCUUUUAAGUCAGGGGUGAAAUCCUGGAGCUCAACUCCAGAACUGCCUUUGAUACUGAGGAUCUUGAGUUCGGGAGAGGUGAGUGGAACUGCGAGUGUAGAGGUGAAAUUCGUAGAUAUUCGCAAGAACACCAGUGGCGAAGGCGGCUCACUGGCCCGAUACUGACGCUGAGGCACGAAAGCGUGGGGAGCAAACAGG